AUGCUCCGCAGGGCGCAGCUUUAUACGACCGCAGAGGUUGAACCCUGAACGGUUGGGGCAAGUAUGGACACAACAUUCAAGCUGGAUUCAGCUCUAAAUUUGGAUUGUGAUUAAAUAGUUGACACUGCAUAGGUUUCUGACACAGAAUGAAUGUGGUCUAAUGAACUUAAAAUAUUUUUUUUGCCUUUGACCAAUUCACUAUGCUGUUGAAUAUUAAUCCUCUCAAAAAAAUGUUUGAAGAAAUUUUCUUUUUAUUUAUGAAAUCUGAAAUGAGAAAAAUUUAACACCCCCCCCUUUUUUUUUAUUUCACUUCCCCCUUUCCCUUUUCCCAAAACUGAUCUCAAUUCAAAUUUCUAAUGGAGUUUGCAACAAUAACUACUCUUUUAAAUACAUCAUAAAA
rnacentral:lncRNA from 1 species